rnacentral:rRNA from 1 species
GUCUACGUCCAUGCCACCCUGAACAUGCCUGAUCUCAUUGGAUCUCAGAAACUAAGCAGGGUCAGGCCUGGUUAGUACUUGGAUGGGAGACCACCUAGGAAUACCAGGUGCUGUAGGCG